GAACUACUCCCUCCGUUCGGAAUUACUUGUCGCCAAAAUGGAUGUAUUUAGAUGUAUUUUAGUUCUAGAUACAUCCAUUUCCGAGACAAGUAAUUCCGAACGGAGAAAGUACAUA
rnacentral:pre_miRNA from 1 species